rnacentral:rRNA from 1 species
UUUAAUUGAAGAGUUUGAUCAUGGCUCAGAUUGAACGCUGGCGGCAGGCCUAACACAUGCAAGUCGAACGGUAACAGGGAGCAGCUUGCUG